GAUGAACGCUAGCUACAGGCUUAACACAUGCAAGUCGAGGGGCAGCAGGGAUUUAGCUUGCUAAAUCCGCUGGCGACCGGCGCACGGGUGCGUAACGCGUAUCCAACUUUCCCGUUACUCAGGGAUAGCCUUCCGAAAGGGAGAUUAAUACCUGAUGGUGUUUGAAAUUCGCAUGUUCUUCAAACUAAAGAUUUAUCGGUAACGGAUAGGGAUGCGUGACAUUAGAUAGUAGGCGGGGUAACGGCCCACCUAGUCUACGAUGUCUAGGGGUUCUGAGAGGAAGGUCCCCCACACUGGAACUGAGACACGGUCCAGACUCCUACGGGAGGCAGCAGUGAGGAAUAUUGGUCAAUGGUCGGAAGACUGAACCAGCCAAGUAGCGUGAAGGAUGAAGGUUCUAUGGAUUGUAAACUUCUUCUAUACGGGAAUAAAACAUCCCACGUGUGGGAUCUUGUAUGUACCGUAUGAAUAAGCAUCGGCUAACUCCGUGCCAGCAGCCGCCGUAAUAC
rnacentral:rRNA from 1 species